rnacentral:rRNA from 1 species
UGCGUAACGCGUAUGCAACCUGCCCCCAUCAGGGGAAUAGCCCGCCGAAAGGCGGAUUAAUGCCCCAUAGGCCCAGGGCGCCGCAUGGCGCUAUGGGUAAAGCUCCGGCGGGUGGGGAUGGGCAUGCGUGCCAUUAGCUAGUUGGGGCGGUAACGGCGCACCAAGGCGACGAUGGCUAGGGGGUCUGAGAGGAUGGUCCCCCACACUGGUACUGAGACACGGACCAGACUCCUACGGGAGGCAGCAGUGAGGAAUAUUGGUCAAUGGGCGGAAGCCUGAACCAGCCAAUGCCGCGUGCAGGAUGACGGCCCUACGGGUUGUAAACUGCUUUUCCCCGGGAAGAAUAAGCCCCUCGUGAGGGGUGAUGCCGGUACCGGGGGAAUAAGGAUCGGCUAACUCCGUGCCAGCCGCCGC